UUAUUCUUCUUACUGAUAUUUAUGUGGACGGACUACAAGGAAUAGGUAUAAAUUAUAUUAGAUUGGUACCCGUCCGGCUAUUGUAAAAUCACUCGACUGGCAUAAAACACUCGUCAUUUAAAAGUCACGGGAUAUUAACUUCCAUAGUGGGGCUUAGUCUAUUACAUAAUUGAAGACAUUGCCUGUGAUAUCCAGACAAGAAGCCAAUUCCUUCAUGCCACCCUGUCCACCAUUUAUCCGUAAGAGAUUUUACAAAUACAAAUAUCAAACCACGAACAUUGUUGAUCCUGCCAAUGUAAUAUUACAAAACUCCAUACAACAACAGACUGUUCACACAGAACUUAUCUCUUAAACCAAGUUAUAGACUAAAAAUAAUAAAACGAAUGACAGACACACUUAUGGGCGAAUAUAGAUAAUUACAGACAACAUUAUAAACACAGGCACAAUGGGCGAAAAUUUUAAUAAUGGAUCGGUCGAUAUUCAGAAUGCUGAGGAAUGCUGCCGAAAAUACGCGAUUGUUUCCGCCGCAGAGUGGAUGCAAAGACAUUGAUCACAUUGUGUGUGUUACAUUACUAAUUAUUAACACAGUUGUUUUGUUUACCUUCCAAUCGCAACAAAGCCACUUUAUAUGACAGACGUGUUCCUAUGAGACAUGGCCGAAAGACGUGAGCUUUAUAAUGGCGGAUCAAUUCAAAAGAAACUUGUUUGUGUUUUUGGAUCGCUAAAUUCUACAUGAAAAUAGCGUUGGAUUAUUAUAAAUUUGUGUUGGAUGUGGUAAGAAAUGAUUCCUUUCCGCGAACAAAGAAGAAUCACGGUGAAAAAUAGAAGGCAAGGAUUCCAAAAUAGCUUUAGAACCUAGGUGGGGGGGGGGGGGACCUUAUUUUCAUAUUAGUUGUGUAUAGGAUCAGGCAGUAAUGGAUAGAGGACAGAGUCCGAUAAGAAUCCGUUACUAAAUUAACUAUAGUGAUAUCAGUGGUGCUGAUCAUAAAACUAUUAUUACAAUGACAUUUUGUAUUGUGUAUAAUGUAGACGGAGACUUUUUUCAGGGCAGUAUAGCGCCGUACCUCUGUUGGAAAUGUCUCGGGAUACUUCGAGUCCGCAUAUAUGUCAAUUAACUUCAUCUCUUUAUAAAAGACCUUCACAUGUUAAACUUGCUUUGCAUGUUUGGACCAUUCUGUGAACUCAGACAAUUUUGCGCAUCUAGUAAGUAUCGUUGACAGUAAGAUAAAUAUGGGUCACCUAUAAAGAUUGAAGAGAUUAUAUGUCAUUCUUGUUUAUUCUACGAGAUGGACCAAGUUCGUUAAUUAGCCUCUCUAUCUUUCUGUACCAGGAUCUUAAUAUUAAAAUUUAUUAUGAUUUGAAAUAUUUCAAAACAAGAAGACAUUUUCUCUAUAUCCUAUAACUUGAUGAUACUGUGCCCUACUUUUCUGCAUUUAUUCGCCAAAAAUAAACUUGAAAUAUGAACACAAAAACAAAAACCGAACAGGAACUAUAUGCCGCGAUGUAUCGUGUGACCCAGAGUACAAUAUGGAUGUUAGACUUUACUCAGAAUUGCAGAUCCACCGCUCAAAUGGCUUUACAUGCAACGAGUUUAUGUUUUUCGUCUUGCUCGUAGACAUGGCACGAAAGCACAUAAGCUUAUUUAUGCCAAUUUUAACCGAAUUGUGUAAGUGACUUCAUUUUGGAUACUAGUAGUUUCGUGCGUUUUUAUACGCCCACAUUGAAAUGUGGACGUAUAUUGCCGUCGCCCCCGCCCGUCCGUCCGUCGGUCCGUCGUCCACAAUUUCUUGUGAACGCUCUAACGCCAAAAGUUAUCAUCCACUUGUUUUAAAAUUGAUAUGUGUUGUUUACAUUAGUGAGAUGAAGAACCCUAUUUAAUUUCAAUAAUUUCCGUUUAUUACGUCUAGAGUUAUGGCCCAUGUUUCACUUUGUUGAACCUUGUGAACGCUCUAAUGCCAAAAGUUGACAUACGAUCUUUGUGAAAUUUAUAUGCAAUAUUUAAGUUAGUGAAACGAAGAAGCCUAUUGAAUUUCAACAAUUUCUGUUUAUUACGUCAAAGGUUAUGGCCCUUGUUUCACUUAAUUGAACCUUGUGAACGCGCGAACUCCAAAAGUUAUCAUCCGAUCUUUCUGAAAUUUAUAUGCAUUAUUUAAAUUAGUGAAACGAAGAAGCCUAUUGAAUUUUGGCAAUUUCCGUUUAUUACGUCUAGAGUUAUUGCCCUUGUUUCACUUUAUUGAUCCCUGUGAACGCUCUAACGUCAAAAGUUAUCAUCUUUACUGAAACGAAGAAGCCUAUUGAAUUUCAGCAAUUUCCGUUUAUUACGUCUAGAGUUAUGGCCCUUGUUUUACUUUAUUGAUCCUUGUGAACGCUCUAACGUCAAAAGUUAUCAUUUGAUCUUUCUGAAAAUUAUAUGGAUUAUUUAAAUUAGUGAGACGAAAAAGCCUAUUCAAUUUCAGCAAUUUCCGUUUAUUACAUCUAGAGUUAUGGCCCUUGUUUCACUUUAUUGAACCCUGUGAUCGCCCCAACGUCAAAAGUUAUCACCCGAUCUUUCUGAAAUUUAUAUGCAUUAUUAAGAUUACAGAAACGAAGAAGCCUACCAAAUUUCAGCAAUUUCCGUGUAUUACGUCUAGAGUUAUGGCCCUUGUUUCACUUUACUGAUCCUUGUGAACGCUCUAACGUCAAAAGUUAUCAUUCGAUCUUUCUGAAAAUUAUAUGCAUUAUUUAAAUUAGUGAGACGAAGAAGCCUAUUGAAUUUCAGCAAUUUCCGUUUAUUACGUCUAGAGUUAUUGCCCUUGUUUCACUUUACUUAUCCUUGUGAACGCUCUAACGUCAAAAGUUAUCAUUCGAUCUUUCUGAAAAUUAUAUGCAUUAUUUAAAUUAGUGAGACGAAGAAGCCUAUUGAAUUUCAGCAAUUUCCGUUUAUUACGUCUAGAGUUAUGGCCCUUGUUUCACUUUACUGAUCCUUGUGAACGCUCUAACGUCAAAAGUUAUCAUUCGAUCUUUCUGAAAAUUAUAUGCAUUAUUUAAAUUAGUGAGACGAAGAAGCCUAUUGAAUUUCAGCAAUUUCCGUUUAUUACGUCUAGAGUUAUGGCCCUUGUUUCACUUUAUUGAACCUUGUGAACGCCCCAACGCCAAAAGUUAUCAUUCGAUCUUUGUGAAAUUUAUAUGCAUUAUUUAGAUUAGUGAAACGGAGAAGCCUAUUGAAUUUCAGCAAUUUCCGUUUAUUACAUCUAGAUUUAUGGCCCUUGUUUCACUUUACUGAUCCUUGUGAACGCUCUAACGCAAAAAGUUAUAACCAGAUCUUUGUGAAAUUUAUAUGCAUGAUUUAAAUUGAUGACAGUUAUCAUCCGAUAUGUAUGAAAUUUAUAUGCAUCAUUUAAAUUUGUGAAACGGGCCUAUUGAAUUUCAGCAAUUUCCGUCAAUAAUUUCUAGAGUUAUGGCGAUUGUGAACGUUAGAAUGACAAAAGUGAUCAUGUGAUCUGUAUGAAAUUUGUAUGCAUUAUUUAAAUUAGUAAAACGAAAAAGCCUGUCAAAUUUUAACAAUUUCUGUAGAUUACUUCCAGAGUUGAGAACCUUGUUUCAGUUUGUAGAACCUUGUAAACCCUCAAACGACAAAAUUUAUAAUCUGAUCUGUGUGGAACUGUCUUGUAAAGGCCCCCAAUUACCUACAAAGGAAUAAAUAUAUGCAACAACCCUUGACGACCGCUCGGACGAUUUAGCUGCUGUGGGCGUAUGUUUUGUUGCCUGGCAACCUAUCUUUCAUAAACUUUUUCUGAGAGACUGUUCCAGAUGGCGUAAUAUAUAAAGUCUUGGGUGACCUCAUUGGUGGAUUAAUGGAUUAUUACCUGAUUACCUGGGAGCAAAUACUUGUGAACGAGAGGAUCAGAAAUGGGACAGAAUCUAGAGAUCUGCCUGUUUAGUGAGAGUUAGUAUAAGACCGUAGCGGGUUUGAAGAAUGAUGGCGCGAGACAAUCACCAGUCGUUCGGAUGGGAGGGACAACAAUAGUUUAAACAAUAUUUGAUUCAACAGUCUAAAUCGGAUUGAACAACAGAUCCGGGUAGCAGACUAUAUAAGCAACAGAGCAAACAACUUUGGCGAGACAUCACUACCGUGGAAGUAGACGUUAAAUAUCAACAAGAACAGAACAUAGGACGCGGGCAUUUAGCACAACAGGAGAUAUAAAGUUUACUUACAGUAUAUUGUUGUUGAUUGUUUAGAUACGGUGACACAAUGGUUUCUAAAGUAAAAGUAGUUAUUUCGCCCAUCUUUCUAGGCUUAUUAGUCGUUAGUUUAGCUUUGGCUACAGUAGAAUCAGAAAAGGUUUUUCUGGACAGUGAAUCGGCCAAAUCAUUUCACCGAGACAGAAGAUAUGUAAAUAUUGUUGAUGAAUUAAGAAGGGAAAGAGCUGAAGCUAACAGAAGAACUGCUGCAUAUUGUAGAAGUAUUGGAAAACGACAUUGCCCUUCUACAUAUGGUGGUAAUUGCUGUUAAAAUUUGGACAUUGUCUUAUAAAUAAGUGGCAUGACCCAGAUACCAUAAGAUCCAAAUUUAACCCAAGACUAAUAAAACAUAUUAUGAGUU